GUAGUGGGGGAGUAACUCGGCGAAAGCCGUGCUAAUACCGCAUAUGCUCUACGGAGGAAAGCAGGGGACCUGAGGGUAACUGAGGGCCUUGUGCUAUGGGAGCGGCCGAUGUCCGAUUAGCUAGUUGGUGAGGUAAUGGCUCACCAAGGCGACGAUCGGUAGCUGGUCUGAGAGGAUGAUCAGCCACACUGGGACUGAGACACGGCCCAG
rnacentral:rRNA from 1 species